GAUGAACGCUGGCGAGAUGCCUUACACAUGCAAGUCGUACGAGAGUUUUAACUCAAGUGGCGGACGGGUGAGUAACACGUAAGAAUUUGCCUUUAGGAGGGGGACAACAACUGGAAACGGUUGCUAAUACCCCAUAUGCUUUCGAGUGAAAUGGAUUUUCCGCCUAGAGAGAAGCUUGCGGCUGAUUAGCUUGUUGGUGAGGUAAUGGCUCACCAAGGCGACGAUCAGUAUCUGGUUUGAGAGGACGAUCAGACACACUGGAACUGAGACACGGUCCAGACUCCUACGGGAGGCAGCAGUGGGGAAUUUUGCGCAAUGGGGGAAACCCUGACGCAGCAACGCCGCGUGAAGGAUGAAGGCCUUCGGGUCGUAAACUUCUGUCAGAUGGGAAGAAGGCUUGUCGGUUAAGAGCUAGCAAGCUUGACGGUACCAUCAAAGGAAGUCCCGGCUAACUCCGUGCCAGCCCGCCGCGGUAAUACCCUGAGACCGC
rnacentral:rRNA from 1 species